AGAAACUUAGGUUAGACAAAACCAAGAGCCUUCAAAGCCCUAAACAGAGGAAAUCAAUACCCCCUAGUUUCUG
rnacentral:tRNA from 1 species